AUGAUGGAGAGUUUGAUCCUGGCUCAGGACGAACGCUGGCGGCGUGGAUUAGGCAUGCAAGUCGAACGGUAUGGUGCUUUCGGGCAUCAGAGAGUGGCGAACGGGUGAGUAACACGUAGGUUAUCUACCCUCAAGACGGGGACAACCCAGGGAAACUUGGGCUAAUACCGGAUGAAAGCAACCGUGAGGUUGUUUAAAAGAUGGCUUUAAGCUGUCGCUUGGGGAUGAGCCUGCGUCCUAUUAGUUAGUUGGUGAGGUAACGGCUCCCCAAGGCAAUGAUAGGUAGGCGGCCUUAACGGGUGGUCGCCCACACUGGGAUUGAGAAACGGCCCAGACUCCUACGGGAGGCAGCAGUCGAGAAUAGUCUACAAUGGCCGAAAGGCUGAUAGUGCGACGCCGCGUGAACGAGGAAUCCCUUCGGGGUGUAAAGUUCUUUUAUAUGUGAGCAGUGCCGGCUAUAUUAAUAGUAUAGUUGGAGAGAUAUUAGCAUAUGAAUAAGCAACGGCUAACUCCGUGCCAGCAGCCGCGGUAACACGGGGGUUGCAAGCGUUGUCCGGAAUUACUAGGCGUAAAGGGCAGGCAGGCGGACCUGCAAGUUUUCUGUUAAAGACGUCAGCUCAACUGGCGCACGGCAGGAGAUACUGCAGGUCUUGAAUGCGGUUGGGGAAGACAGAAUUCCUGGUGUAGCGGUGGAAUGCGCAGAGAUCAGGAGGAAUACCAAAGGCGAAGGCAGUCUUCCAAGCCGUUAUUGACGCUGAACUGCGAAGGUGUGGGUAUCAAACAGGAUUAGAUACCCUGGUAGUCCACACAGUAAACGAUAAUCACUAGGUGUCGGUUUCGUAUAGGAUUCGGUGCCGUAGCUAACGCGUUAAGUGAUUCGCCUGGGGAGUACGAUCGCAAGGUUGAAACUCAAAGGAAUUGACGGGGGCCCGCACAAGCGGUGGAGCAUGUGGUUUAAUUCGAGGCA
rnacentral:rRNA from 1 species